rnacentral:pre_miRNA from 17 species
CUUUCAAUAAAAGUAUGUCCUAUUCAAUAUUUGGGACAUACUUAUGCUAAAA